UGUUCACAUCGCCUGCGAUGCUAUGCUGCUAAAGGCUGCGACCACCGCUAGAUCCCGCUACGCCCCAUGAUUUAUCUCAACAUAGCUUCCCUCCAGCAGACGUACUAGAGCGCUUGGGAAAUCGGCUGUAAUAAGAAAGACGAACAUGAAUAUACUCAUGGUGGGCUUGAGGGGCGGCGGGCGAGGAGCUGCCGGACACAAAGGAUUGGCUUCAUGGAAUAUUCACACCUCGAUGCGCACGGUGAUCUUUGGAGCCAGUGGUGGAAGGUGGUAAUGAGAGUGGAAGUGGGACGAGGAGGACUUGCCCGGCGCCACAAACAGGACCCGAGGAGGAAAAAACAACAACGGGAGGACAAAUUGGACGAAGUCGGGACGGAGGCGAACGAGAAAUUGAAGUGGAAGGGAAAGGAAAGAGAAGAAAAGAAGCGGAAGUCAGAUAUGGGAUGGUUGAGUGGUCAGAGUGCGGGUAUGGUGUCAUGGAGGACCAGGGUGCAACCAGCCAACCAGGAGUCCAGA